rnacentral:siRNA from 1 species
GAAUCGUGUAUCGUAUUUCCAGUG